UAAGUGCUUCCAUGUUUCAGU
rnacentral:miRNA from 2 species